CUAAUCCUGUUUGCUCCCCACACUUUCGCACCUCAGCGUCAGUAUCGAGCCAGUGAGCCGCCUUCGCCACUGGUGUUCCUCCAAAUAUCUACGAAUUUCACCUCUACACUUGGAAUUCCACUCACCUCUCUCGAACUCAAGACUGGGAGUUUUAAAGGCAGUUCCAGGGUUGAGCCCUGGGAUUUCACCUCUAACUUUCCAAUCCGCCUACGUGCGCUUUACGCCCAGUAAUUCCGAACAACGCUAACCCCCUCCGUAUUACCGCGGCUGCUGGCACGGAGUUAGCCGGGGUUUCUUUACCUGCUACUGUCAUUAUCAUCACAGGCGAAAGAGCUUUACGACCCUAAGGCCUUCUUCACUCACGCGGCAUGGCUAGAUCAGGCUUGCGCCCAUUGUCUAAGAUUCCCCACUGCUGCCUCCCGUAGGAGUCUGGGCCGUGUCUCAGUCCCAGUGUUGCUGAUCAUCCUCUAAAACCAGCUAUAGAUCGUAGACUUGGUAGGCCAUUACCCCACCAACUAUCUAAUCUAACGCGGGCCGAUCCUUCUCCGAUAAAUCUUUCCCCCAAAGGGCGUAUACGGUAUUACUCUUCGUUUCCAAAGGCUAUUCCGUAGAAAGGGGUAUGUUCCCACGCGUUACUAACCCGUCCGCCGCUCCACCCGAAGGUAGCGCUCGACUUGCAUGUGUUAGGCCUGCCGCCAGCGUUCGUUCUGAGCCAGGAUCAAACUCU
rnacentral:rRNA from 1 species